GACGUAGGGGGCCAGCGUUGCUCGGAAUUACUGGGCGUAAAGGGUUCGUAGGCGGUGCGGUAAGUCGGAAGUGAAAUCUCCAGGCUCAACUUGGAGGCUGCUCCCGAAACUGCCGUGCUAGAGUACGGGAGAGGCGAGUGGAAUUGCAGGUGUAGCGGUGAAAUGCGUAGAUAUCGGGAGGAACACCUGAGGCGAAGGCGGGCUACUGGGCUGAUACUGACGCUGAUGCGCGAAAGCUAGGGGAGCAAACAGG
rnacentral:rRNA from 1 species